GGUUCAGGAUGCACAGACACCCGUUAUGAAAGAAGAUGACGAAGACGAAGAAGAAGCUAUUGGAUCUGUUCCACGCUUGCCAAACACUUUCUCGAAAGUUGUCAUUAAAU